UGGAGAUGCUGGGGAUUGAACCUGGGGUCUUCUGCACAUAGAGCAGAUGCUCUGUCACUCUACUAGGGCCCUUCCCUAGUCUUCAUGCACUCCACGCUUGCUAUCUCCUGAUAGGUGGUCUCACUAGUUGGCUACAAAUCAUAUUAAGGCUGCAAUCCCCCACACAUGUACAUGGGAGCAAGUUCCAUCAAAUUCAACCAGACUUACUCCUAGGUAGAUAUGCACAGCUUUGCAUUAUACAAGCAUUUACCCCAGUGAGUCUGAUCCUCCGUAGCCUAUGGGUGUGCAAUGAUUAUUUAAAAGUGAAUAGUGUGCUAUCAACUCCCACUGUUCUUUAUGCACUGCUGGAAUUUAUGCUCUCUACAUGCUUUAUGAACACAAUGGGCUUUGCUGCUAGGAUAAUUUUAUACCUGCUAUCAGAUCACAGUUCAGCCAGCAACAGAGGGGAUGUAAACCAAUUCCACAAAAGUGCACGCAUUAGAAGACCACUAGAUGAGCUAUUUUAGACACAAGCUUUUAUGUUUCCCACAAACAUGGCAACCUGAUAAUGUUUUUGUGCAUAGUACUAAACCUGAAGGAUCUGGAAACUUAGAAGGGAAUAGAGCUAAUAUAAAUGAUCAAGUCAUGUAAGACAUUCACAUAUGCCACUAUUUUACACUGCUGUGGCUGUUUUUCGGCACAAAGGAGGAUGUAAAAUAAACUUCAUAGCACAGCCAAGGUGGUGCUCUCCAGAUGUUUGUAGAGUACAACUUUCAUCAACCCCAAUCGGUGUGGCCAAAUGGUCAGGGAAUAUGGCAGAUGUAGCCUAAUGUCAACUGAAGGGCGCUAAAUUAUCUUACCCCUGUUAUACAUUUAUUUCCAUUAUACAGUUAGAUCUUGAAGUGCAGUUUGGUCUUGUCUGUGAGCUGUAGGGGUGACCAACGUGGGACCCAUGAAGGCCUUCAGUGGCACCUCUGGGCAGAAGCCCCAGUUUCUAAGCUUUUGUUUAAAAAAGUACAUCUCUAGCCCUCCUAAGAAGUAAGUUAUGAAACUAAAUGUGCAGGUACCAUUAUAAGUGAUUUCUGUGAAAUGAGCCAGCUAGCUGCUUCCAUCUGUCUGUGAUUUUAACCAAUGAAUUUUAGACUGAUAGGUGAAUUGCUCAGACAUCAGGCAAGAGGAAUCCCUGGAGUCCUAAAGAGCUGCUGUUUUCCCCUUCCCCUCAGUGCACUUUUCCUGUUUCUGUCUUUUUUCCUAGUCCUUGGAAUCUCUAUAGUUUGUUCUUUUUCUCCUAACAACCAGGAUACAACUUUCCCAUGGUGAGUUCAUCUGAGAUCAGGCAGUCCCUGAAAAUUAUUUUCUGCAAAUACUACUACACAACAAGUGUGGAUGGAUUCAAAAGAAUCACCCCUUUCUUCAAAAGCUACUGCAUAAACUAACUAAAGACUAAUCGGAGACACCGGACUGCAUGAGUGUUACAGCUGCUUGAGCAGUCACCUUAUCUAUAUACCGAUAACACUCAGACUCUCACAGGCUGGAGUGGAAGAAGCGAUGAGCAAAAUCCGCCCCCUCCUUUCUGAAACAUUGUCAGCAGAUUCUUGCAAUGGGAGGGGUGAAACAUCCUCAUGCUCUGCAUAUGACUUAGCUGGAUAUCACGAAUAACUUUUACCACCAUGUUACUAAGCAAACAACAGAAUAUAUUGAACCUAGACCAGUAUAUUUAAUUUUAGAAAUACAUGUGACAAAAGUAAUUUGACCUUAAACAUAUCAGUGAUACCAGCUAAAUAAAAAUACUGCCAAUGGUUUAACUUGCAAUUUCUUAAGGUUGUGGACCUCUUUAAAACAAGCUCAAUGAUUAUUUUCUUUAAGUGUUUUAAAAUAAUGUGAUUUACUUACUGGAUUGAGAACAACAGUGAAAAACAGUUCCCCACCCUGUAUACUUUUGUUCAGUUCUUUAGGACCACCAGGAUACUCUUUGUAGAAAAUGGUGUGAGUAAAGAGACCACAAGUUUGUCGAGGAAGAACCUACAGAAAAACAGUGAGGGGAAGGGCAGAAUGAGGCAUGAUCUACCCAAAGCAGAGCACUUACUGAGUCCCAGAAAUUUUAAUGGAAGAGAUAUUAACAUGCACUUAAUUCUCCCACUGUAACCGGUACAACUUGAAUAUGCUUAACUUUGUUGGGUGAUUUUUUUAACCUUAAUUUUGAUGUACAGAAAAAUGCACAGAAUAAAGAGAAGCUACAAACUC